ACUUAUUCAUUUCAAUUUGUACGAAAGGACCAUUGAAGAAAAAAAGUUUUUUCCUUUGAA
rnacentral:tRNA from 1 species